rnacentral:lncRNA from 1 species
AUGCCUCGGAAAACGUCGAGAGAGACAAGUCGUUGUUUAGGAUCAGUUGAAAUAUUAGACUCUGAUUUAUCUGGUAGCUCCUCCACUGGCGCCGUCGAAUAGACAGUUUCUCCGUCUCUGACCGUCACAUCUCCCCGCGAAUCCUCAGGUUGUGAGUUCUGAAGUAGAGGAGUGCGGUCUCCGCCGUCGGUGUCUGUUACCACCACGAUCGAGGCCAUCUUUUUUUGGCCAGUCCCACCUGUGUCAACGGUCAAUUUGAGGGCACACCCCUCUGCGCCUCUUCAGUUUGACAAAGUUUAGUUAAAAAAUUGAAUGUUAAUUCUAUUUUAAAUUUGAGAGUGCCGUAAUUUUAAAAAUGUACAAUUGAGUGAAUGUAGUUUUAUAAACCGUGCAGUAUACUUCCUACAAUAUCUUACUUUUGUUUUUUGGCACGGAAGUCCCCAAGUUACGUAUUUUGGUGUGCAAUUGGUUUCCUUUACAAAGUGGCACCAAGAUCCAAAAAAAUUAUUGUCUCUAUGUUUAAUGGAGAUUUCCCGCAUCUAUUGCAACUUGGUCGACAAUACAAUUCUUGAACUUUUAACCUAAAACACAUUUCAACUAGAAACUAUCCAAAUUUUUGAUGCUACCUCAAAUUUCGUUGAUAUAAAGGGUAAAAAUUAGAUACGAAGGCUCGGAUUUUGAAAUUUAAUGGAUUUAGGAGAAUAAAAUAAAUUAGGGCACAUUCUCACCGCUCGUGGAUUACAAUUUUGCUUACAAGAACGGUGAUUUGACGAAAAUCUUCUUGCUGAUUUGUUUUUGCAACGUGUUUUCCAAUUUGUGAAACAGAUUAUCAAUUUUCCCCAAAUUUGUGAUUUGACGUAAUUUUCAGUUUGCCCCCUCCUUUUAGUGCAAUUGUCAAGGUUUUUACCUGUUUAAUUAUCAAACUGAAUAAAAUUUCACACCUAGUUUGUUGAAAAAUUAGAAAGGGGUGUUCGAACCCCCCUAGUCAGAAACAGAGGGUACAAAAAAAGGCAUAAAAAAAUUUCACUGGGUACAUCCAUAUUUAUUUCCAGAGUCCUUAAAAGAAUAGAAAACCCAAAUUCCAAAUAUCCGAUCGUUUACGAACAUUUUGGUCAAUUACUAGAAAACUCUGCUUGUGGCAACCAGGGUUAGUACAUUCAUAAAAGCACUCAGGGACUUUGUCCCAUUGAUGUAUUCUUACAAUUGGCGUGAAAACAGGUCACCAUUUCAUGAAUAAAAACUCGCCACAAAACAGAAUCGCAAUCUGCUUCUAGUUCAAAGGGUGUCGUUCAAUACAGGAGAUGAUCAUAGAGAUCUGAUGAUUGUACAACACCAAGAAUUUAGUUUCAUCCCGUGAAAGUAACUAACUGUUGAAAAAUCAUUUUCUUCGCUUAUUAAGGGCAAAGGCAUGUUUUCACACAAUAUGCGUUUCACAAUUUGACUGAUCUAAACAUAUGGUGUAACCUUUUAUAGUUUGUAUUUUCCAGUUGUAGGAAACAAUAAAGAUAUAUAACACAUUGCACUUAUAUACCAAAAACCCAUUUAUAGAUAUAUUAGAUAAUUCAGGUCUGAGGCCCACAGAGACAGCAAGAAAAUGCCGGCCAGAUGAUCUAGUAAAAACUACAAGCAAACAUAUGGUGUAACCUUUUAUAGUUUGUAUUUUCCAGUUGUAGGAAACAAUAAAGAUAUAUAACACACCUUGAAGAAUUACUCCCAAGAGAAAAAGCUUAAUGGUCCUCAAUAUAACUUUCUUUGUAGCUGCUGAUUUGUUAGGUACUUUCUGUGUAGAAAACAUGAACACGCUUUUACCAGUUGACUUAAAACAACAAGAAUAGCUUCAGCAUUAGAGACAUCUACUCUUAAUCUGAAGUCAAAAAGACCAUCAAUAUAACAUGAACUACUAAAUAAGAUGUAAGGAAAGGCUUUAUGUUGGGAAAUCAUGUCUUUUCCCUUAUAUCUCGUUCUUUCCAACAAGUUGGAGCAUUAACAAAUUCCUUCCUUAUAAAGAAUCAAAAGAAUUCAAGUGAGAAUUGUCAAUACCUUGAACACAAGACUCACAGAGACACCAACACCAAAGAGAAAAAACGGCAUCACAAAGUCGGCGAUUGUCACUCCGAACCACGGUGCGUGGUUUAUCGAUGGAAAAGCUUUUCCAGCAUCAUCAACUAAAAUCAUCAGCUGCCAACGAAAGGGUAAACGAGAUUACAAAAGAACUUUUAAACACUAAAGUAAAAGAUGAACUAAUAACAAAUAGAGAAAUAGUUAUCUGAAGUAACCGAAAUUCAUCGAGUGCAUUGAAAUUAAAGAACGAAAUGAAAUGAAAGCAUAAUUUUAUUAAAUACAAUCAAGGUGACAUACCGCGAUAGUGAUGCCUCGGAAAACGUCGAGAGAGACAAGUCGUUGUUUAGGAUCAGUUGAAAUAUUAGACUCUGAUUUAUCUGGUAGCUCCUCCACUGGCGCCGUCGAAUAGACAGUUUCUCCGUCUCUGACCGUCACAUCUCCCCGCGAAUCCUCAGGUUGUGAGUUCUGAAGUAGAGGAGUGCGGUCUCCGCCGUCGGUGUCUGUUACCACCACGAUCGAGGCCAUCUUUUUUUGGCCAGUCCCACCUGUGUCAACGGUCAAUUUGAGGGCACACCCCUCUGCGCCUCUUCAGUUUGACAAAGU